rnacentral:rRNA from 1 species
UACGUAGGGCGCAAGCGUUGUCCGGAAUUAUUGGGCGUAAAGAGCUCGUAGGCGGUUUGUCGCGUCUGUCGUGAAAGCUUGGGGCUUAACCCCAAGUCUGCGGUGGAUACGGGCAGACUAGAAGCAGGUAGGGGAGAACGGAAUUCCCGGUGUAGCGGUGAAAUGCGCAGAUAUCGGGAGGAACACCGGUGGCGAAGGCGGUUCUCUGGGCCUGUACUGACGCUGAGGAGCGAAAGCGUGGGGAGCGAACAGG